UACGUAGGGGGCUAGCGUUGUCCGGAAUCAUUGGGCGUAAAGCGCGUGUAGGCGGUCCGGUAAGUCCGCUGUGAAAGCCAGGGGGCUCAACCCUUGGAUGCCGGUGGAUACUGUCGGGCUUGAGUACGGAAGAGGCGAGUGGAAUUCCUGGUGUAGCGGUGAAAUGCGCAGAUAUCAGGAGGAACACCAAUUGCGAAGGCAGCUCGCUGGGACGUUACUGACGCUGAGACGCGAAAAGCGUGGGGGAGCAAAACAGG
rnacentral:rRNA from 1 species